UACCAGCCUAAUGUAGUACAAACU
rnacentral:miRNA from 10 species